UACAGAGGGUGCUAGCGUUGUUCAGAAUCAUUGGGCGUAAAGGGCGUGUAGGCGGUUUGUUAAGUCAUGUGUGAAAUCCCUCGGCUCAACCGAGGAACGACGCAUGAAACUGGCAAGCUAGAGUACCAAAGAGGGGGUGGAAUUCCCGGGUGUAGCGGUGAAAUGCGCAGAUAUCAGGAAGAACACCCGUGGCGAAAGCGGCUCUCUGGAACGGUACUGACGCUGAGACGCGAAAGCGUGG
rnacentral:rRNA from 1 species